rnacentral:rRNA from 1 species
CCUACGGGAGGCAGCAGUGGGGGAUAUUGGACAAUGGGGGAAACCCUGAUCCAGCGACGCCGCGUGAGUGAAGAAGUAUUUCGGUAUGUAAAGCUCUGUCAGCAGGGAAGAAAGAAAUGACGGUACCUGACCAAGAAGCCUCGGCUAACUACGUGCCAGCAGCCGCGGUAAUACGGCGGGGGCAAGCGUUAUCCGGAAUUACUGGGUGUAAAGGGAGCGUAGACGGUGAUGAAAGUCUGGGGUGAAAGGCGGGGGCGCAACCCCCGAACUGCUCUGGAAACUGUGUAACUUGAGUGCAGGAGAGGUAGGCGGAAUGCCUAGUGUAGCGGUGAAAUGCGUAGAUAUUAGGAGGAACACCAGUUGCGAAGGCAGCUUACUAGACUGUAACUGACGUUGAGGCUCGAAAGCGUGGGGAGCAAACAGGAUUAGAUACCCCUGUAGUC